AUAGCAUGAGCAGCGGGUUUCGGCGGCCGCGGUCGGCGCUGCCGUCGUGUCUAGUGCGCGCCCCUCUGACCGGCGCCAUGAGAGCGGCUUCGCCGGUGGAUCUCAUGGAUAGUGCGUGCAUCAUUAACCUUCUAUAGUCCUCCACGGCGAAUCGCAUCACAUCGCCGGCCGGAGCGCCGGCCAUCUGGCCGUUCCCCUUUGCUGUGCGGUACGCCGUCUCGGCCGAAGCUGCAAUCUCCUCCGGCGCCCGCGUUGCUGAGCGGAGUUUCCUCAUGCAGCAGCAGCGGCGGCAACUCCUAUCCAUCUACCAAAGAAAGUGGCAUUAUCUUAUCCAUUCAGUAUGUAUCUUUUCCUCUUUACUGUGUGUUUGCACGAACAGGUGCAUAUCUCCCUUUGCCUUACCAUUUCCUCUUUGUAUUAAAUAAAUUUGAGCAGCGUAUGUUUGCAUCUUGCUGUAAAGUGUACUUGAGAGACGAUGGUAGAGGAGCCAUCAAGGAAAUUGCUGGCAGAUGCAGCUACAAAAUUACUUGUUCCAGUAUUUUCUAUUAUUUGUGAAAUUGGAUAUGACUGGUGGUAGGCUAUGUAAGAAAGAAAUUUUAUAGUAAUUGAGAAAAUGAUCUUGGUUCUUCAAUGGCUCUGUAACUUUAGAGCCACGUCCCUAAUGCAUAAAUAUAUAACUGGUAUUGAUCUUGUCAAAUCAGUUGUUAGCCCUUGCUUGCAUAUUUUUGUUUACCUGUAAAUGCAGAGAGAAGUACCUUGCUGAAAAAUAUAAUAUUUCAGAGAUAACCAUUUAAAACAAUUUUAAAAACCAAUUUAAAACAGUUAAGGCUGCUAUGUCUUUCCAGAAAAAAAAGGCUGCUAUGUCUGGAACACAUUAUAUUUGGUCAUUUAAGAAUGUUUGUAUUUGUUCUUAACUUCUAAUUCUAGUUAUUAAAAAAAUAUCUAUCAUAUAUCCUUGUAAACAAUGUUUUUUGCAACCUUGUCGGAUGGACGCUCUUCAUCUGAUAUAAGUAUCCGCAAUCCAUUUCUGCUGGUAACCCUUGACAUUGCAACAUAGAGUUGGCCAUGUGUGAACACUUGCCUUUCUAAGUAGAGUCCAACCUUUUUGAGAGAUUGCCCCUGACUUUUGUUUAUUGUCAUAGCAAAGCACACUGAUAUUGGGUAUUGUCUCCUUUUCAGAAUGAAAGGCCAUUUUGAAUCACUUGGUGAGAUAAUAAUUCGUGGGAUGUAAACUUUGUCACCAAUGAAUUUGACUCAUGAUGUAGGUGUUAAUCUGGUCAACAGUCUCGUUCCUUGGGCACAGGAUCGCUCUUUCCUCUAGGUCUUCUGGGAUGCUAACCCAGUCUUCAUCAUCUAUUGUUGCUGUUGUGCCAUCGCCGAUGUUUAGUAUCCAGUUUGCAAAUUCAGCUGUCUUUGCUUUCUCUUCUGGUCUACCUUCGGAUGAAUUCAGACGCAUAUUUUCUGAUUUGUCUGAAGUCACCUCCCAAGACUACUGUCAUUCCUCCAAACGGUCUAUGCUCGGCAUCCUCAUUUGUGAAUCGAAGAUCAGUCACCUUGCAAAAUAAAAGUAUUGUGCAGAAAAGUUGGCGCAUUUGAGGAGCAGAGGCCCAAUGGGAUGCUUCCUUGAUGCAGUCAUCCCACUCCUUGUCGUCAUUAAGUAGCCCAAGAGCAUAACAUGCAGAUUUGUAUGUUGGAUGUACAACCCCAUCAACUGUUCGGGUUUCUUCAUAGGAUCUGCAUCCUUUCACGGUAUUUAGAAGCAUUCUCAAGUAGUAUUUUUCACCGCUUGUUGGUUGUGCAUAGUAAAUCCUGCCUAUUGUUUUUUUACCACCACGUCUUUUCCUCCAUUCUUUCUCUUUUGCAUGCCAAGUCCAUUUGGUUGGAAACUGUGCAUACGUCAAACUGCGAGCUUCCUCAUGCAAUUGGUUGGCUGUCAUCCAUUCUGUGAACAUUGUCUUUUCUAUGUUAGGCCGAGAUAUGAUUUUAUCUAAAUCCAUCGAGUCUGGGAAUACCACAACAUGUUCAUUUUCUAGGUGAAAUUGUAACCUUUCAACCGCAGGCUCUCUAUACUGAAGAGGAAACUGAAAUAUGUACCAUGCGGCUUCACAUCCAGAUAUGUACCGAGCAUCAAGGUAUCUCUUGAUAUCGUCGUCCCUGUUUGUUAAUUUGACACCUCUUGUUUCUCUUUGUUGCUCUUCUGUUUCUAUUAAUACAGUUGUUCGAUCUUCUCCUUUGUGGAUGUAUUUGAAUAAAUACUUUAUAGACCUUGAUCUGUUGCACCAUUCAACAUUUAUGUGGGCUUGAUACUUGACCAGUAUGUUUCUAUUGUAUGGCACAACAAAUCUAUUGUCUAGCUUCACUCCGUUUUUGUCCACAGUAUUGCCAUCAUCUCGUCUUCUAUAUACUGGAUAGUUAUCUUCAUCUAUUGUAGUUUCAGUGCAAAAACUCUUGGGGAAAUGUUUGGCACAACUUUUAUCGACCAUGCAUGGUGAUUUUGGGUGUGCUUGACCACAGGGACCAUGUAUCAUGUAAUUUUGCACUGCUUCAUACCCAUCUGGAUCACUAUUCUUGUCGGGAAUUUCGGCUGAUAUGAUUUUGUCGAUCUGGGAAGGACUGGGAUCUUUAUCAUCUGGAUGUAGAAACACCAGUAUAUGUGCAUGAGGGAGGCCUCUUUUUUGGAACUCUAUCGUGUAGACAACUGCAUGCAAGUAAAGAAAUUUGAGAAGAAAUGAUUUAGGACAAUCACCUAGGCAAUAGUAAAUCUGUAGUUGGUUGGUAAAGUUACUCGCAAUUGUUUGUCCGAAACACUUCUUGUUCUUUAUGUCAUUCAUAAGUUCCUUCAGUUUUAACAUGAAUACUCUGGCAACAAUGUCUGGACAAUCUUCAGGUUUCUGGCCUGGAAUUAGAUCCAACAUAUCCUGUAUUUCCGGCCAUUUCGGAUUGCAUGUAAAAGUGAUGAAGAGAUCAGGAUAGCCAGCCCAACGACAAAUCGCCAUGGCAUCUUGGUAGUUUUGCUGCUUAUUUCUAGGGCUACCAUUAUAUGUUGAGGGUAGUAUGAUUCUUUGGCCAACUUGUUCAGUUCGUGUAUCUCCAUUUUCUAUUGCAUCAUGCAGUCCUCUGUAUAGUUCUGUCCUCAGCUUACCUUGGUUUGUGCUGUACCAAUUUAGUUUCCAUUGUUCAAUGCACGUUGCUGCAUCAACUAAGAACUGUAGGAACAAGUGUCCACUCAUUUGCAAGGUUGUUGCUUGGUUAAGACGUUGUUGGAUGCGAUAUGCAUAAAACUCCAGCAUUGUUACAUACUUUCUCUUACCUUUGUCGCCUCUCUUUUUUUGAUACUCUAUUUCUGGUCUGAACCCAUCUUCUCCAUAUGGAAAAAGCAAGGGGUAUUUCAUUGACAUAUAGCUUGGGUGCAACUCCGAAAUCCUCUGUAACAUUCUGUCUUUGGUCUCAAUUAUUAUAUCAAAUUCAUCAUUUUCUCCAUCUUGUUCCCCGAUAAUUAGUGCUGCAACUUCUGAGGCAGAUGGGAGGUUGUAUUGUCGUCCAUCUUUCGACCUUUUGUUGAUCAAUCUUAGUCUUACAUCUUUAAUAUCUCGGUUUUUGAACCUGUCCCUUGCCAUACGAAACGAUUUGACUAAAACAUUGUGCUCAUCUAGCAUCUCUAGUAGACCUUUGACAAUGUUUUCAUCUGGCUUUGCCUUACUCUCCAUUGAAGUUGAUGCAGUAAUCCUGUUACGCACUUCAUUUUCUGUGUCAUGUAUGUACAAUUGGGCAAAUUUUGGUUUCGUCAUGUCAUCUUUAGGAAGUAAAGUGCCAAUGUGAUGGUUGUUUUGGCCAUUCAAACGGAAAACAUAUGGUCCAGGUGUCUGCUUAUUAAUUUCAUAGUCAACCUUUCCUCCCAUUGAAGUGAACGCGAACAUGGAGUUGUACAACCUGAUGUUCUGGCGAAAAUUGGAUGACUCUCCUCUUUCAUUGUAACGUAGUAGCUGUCGGAGAUACAACGGAGCUUGCUUCAGUGGUGGUAAUUUAAUUUUCCCUUCCUUGCAGCAGAGACCAAAUUUUGGAACUGUGAUGUUACGUGUGUUUGUGCUUCUCUCUCCAUGCCACAUAAUGGCAUUGCAAAAUUCACAAACGCAAUUUGGUUUUCCCAAAUUUGAAACUUGAGUGACAUCCUUUGCUAUAUUUGAUACUUCACAGCCAUUAUAGUCCUUUUCUGUCCUUAUUCGUUUCUUUUCCCUUUUCAGCUGGAGUAUCUCUUUCCUUUUUCGUCUAGCUUCCUUCCUUGCUGCUCUGAUAAUAUCUAAUUGACUAUCAUUAGAUUCUACUGUCGCAAGCUGUGAGGUUCCUUGCUUAGGUAUUUGUAUUGUUUGAUCACCCAAUAUAUUGCUGUAUUAUAUUUUGGUAUCAUUUGAAUAAUCCAGGAAAAUUAAUGGCUAUAUAAUUAUUUUUUGGUAUUGGGGUAAUGAAUACCUUCUAUUGUUUUGAUUUGGUCCACGUUACUUCGACGCAAGUUGAGUGCAGCUAGUGAAUCCUGAAAUGAGGGAAAAAUUGUAACGCUUUGUUUGAGAGCAACAACAUGCAGAUAGAAUUAAGUAUAUGGAAGUUAGCAGUAUUUCCUUUCUGGAGGCAAAGAUCUGGCAUUUAACCUUGACUGUAGAAAUUAAAAUCUAUUCCUCAUUGGGAACAUCGCAACAAAAAUUAAGUACAUGCUAGUGAGGACAUCUUAUAAGCACCUGAUUCCUUUUCUGCUGAAGUAUUUCUUUCCUUUUCCGUGCAGCAUCCUUCAUUGCUGCUCUAAUGAUGUCUGGUUGAUUAUCAUUAGAUUGUAGAGUGGCAAGUUUGGAGGUUGCUUUGUCAGGUCUUUCAUUGCUACAUUAGAUUUUGGUGCCAUUUUAAUAAUCUAGGUAAAUUAAUGGGUAUAAAAUUGUUUUUAUAUUGUGGUAACGAAUACCUAUUGUUGUUUUUGUCGAGUCCAUUGCGAGUUCGACGCAUGCUGACUGCAGGUAGUUAAUCCUGAAAAAUAUGAGGGAAAAUGUAAGGAUUUUGUCCAAGAACAACAACAUGCAAAGAGUAUCAAGUAUUUUGAUAGUUGACCCAUGCACUUGGAUGGGCUAUUAUCAUAUUGAUAGUCGAAAUCCAAUCAUAUUUAACUUUCUAAGAAUUUUAUUCCUCAUCAGGGUUAUCACAAAGUAUGUAAGCAGUAAAUGAUAGUGAGGACAUCUUGUAAGCACCUUAUUUUACUUGUCCGGAAAUUCUUAGUUGCUGACGAUAAGUUUAAUGUAUACAUGUCAGGUACCACAUUGUUUUGAAGGAUGUUGUCUGGAUCAAUCAGUUUCCUGGAAAUAUUCCUGUUCUCCUACUGAUAGUAUGCCAACAAAGAAUUGUAGAUCAUGUACAUGUGUUAUUACCUUUUAAGCAGAGGACAUACUAUAUGGUUUGUAAUUGGCAAACUAAUUUUGAUGUUUGUUCAUCAAUUUCUCUGUAGUUGCAAUUAACAAAGCAUAUGUGAUGAGAUUACGGAGUUGAUGCAUAUAAUAGUGGAAGUUGGUAAUGAAUACCU